AGGUAAUAGAGCCAGCAAGCUUGUAGCACAACGCCUAAGAGAAAGACAGCAACAAACACGGAUAGCACACAUCGUAAAUAAAAAGGGCCAAAAAAAUCCACCUACCCUCAGGCAUUUGUAAAAAAUUUGCCCAAUAUUACAGCCAAUUAUAUAACCUCUCUAAAGAUCCGACCACCCCGCAACCCACAGAGGCAGGCAUACAAUCCUACCUAACAGACAUCCCGCUACCAACCCUGUCUAAAACCCAGCAACAACUCCUGGAAGCCCCCAUUACGGAGAACGAAAUCUUAGAGUGCAUAACAUCCACGCCCCUAGGGAAAGCACCGGGACCAGAUGGCUUUACGAACGAGUACUAUAAGAAAUUUGCACCACACCUGGCCCCACACCUCAACAGGGCUUUCAGACGGGGAACUUCCCAGCGGAGUACCUGGCAGCUAGAAUAAUUACCCUACCGAAACCGGGAAAACCUCCGACACACUGC